AGAAUUGUAAAACUAUUUUUUAUAAAAAAUACAUAGGGGAAUAUAUAUUAUAUAAGAAAAAAGUAAUAGAAACGAAAUGGUGGUAUGGUUUAUGACUAGCCUGUCCUAAAGGCGAAUAAAUUAAAUAUUACAUAAAAAUACAUUUAAAAUGGUAUAUUUCUUCUGCAUACUAGACGAAAACAUACAAAAGUAAUAUAAAUCUGCUCAUUUUAUUUCUAAUGGAAAU